rnacentral:rRNA from 1 species
AGCUCCAAUAGCGUAUAUUAAUGUUGUUGCAGUUAAAAAGCUCGUAGUUGGAUUUCUGAGAGAAUUGCACCUGGCCCGUCCCUUAUGGGAUGUGCGUCGGAAGGCAUCUCUCAUCCUCUCAGGGAAAGUUCAUGCCCUUUCAAUAGGGUGGGUUCGAUAACUGGGUCGUUUACUUUGAAAAAAUUAGAGUGUUUAAAGCAGGCUUUUUGCUAUGAAUACAUUAGCAUGGAAUAAUAACUUAGGACUUCGGUUCUAUUUUGUUGGUUUCUAGUACUGAAGUAAUGAUUGAUAGGGAUAGUUGGGGGUGCUAGUAUUGGGCGGCCAGAGGUGAAAUUCUUGGAUUCGCUCAAGACUAACUUAUGCGAAAGCAUUCACCAAGGAUGUCUUCUUUAAUCAAGAA